AGAGGUAGAUGGAAUUUCUGGUGUAGGGGUAAAAUCCGUAGAGAUCAGAAGGAAUACCGAUUGCGAGGGCGAUCUACUGGAACAUUAUUGACGCUGAGACGCGAAAGCGUGGGGAGCAAACAGGAUUAGAUACCCUGGUAGUCCACGCCCUAAACGAUGUACAUUAGUUGUUGCUAUGCUAGACAUAGCAGUAAUGCAGUUAACACAUUAAAUGUACCGCCUGGGGAGUACGGUCGCAAGAUUAAAACUCAAAGGAAUAGACGGGGACCCGCACAAGCGGUGGAGCAUGUGGUUUAAUUCGACGAUACGCGAAGAACCUUACCUGGCCUUGACAUAGAAAGAAUUUAGCAGAGAUGUAAAAGUGCUAGUUUACUAGAGCUUUCAUACAGGUGCUGCACGGCUGUCGUCAGCUCGUGUCGUGAGAUGUUAGGUUAAGUCCUGCAACGAGCGCAACCCUCGUGUUUAGUUACUAACAGAUUAUGCUGAGGACUCUAGACAUACUGCCUGGGCAACCAGGAGGAAGGUGAGGACGACGUCAAGUCAUCAUGGCCCUUACGGCCAGGGCUACACACGUGCUACAAUGGGGUAUACAAAGAGCAGCGAUACCGCGAGGUGGAGCAAAUCUCAUAAAAUAUCUCCCAGUUCGGAUUACACUCUGCAACUCGAGUGUAUGAAGUUGGAAUCGCGUAGUAAUCGUAGAUCAGCAAUGGU
rnacentral:rRNA from 1 species